GGGGUAGUUAAGGUUUCGACAGGGGAUCUGAAGCUGGAGAAGCUGUCCGGUGCGACCCGUUAAUCGCAAACAAAAAUAAACGCUGAUAACAAUCAGUACGCACUCGCUGCCUAAUCAGUAGCGCGUGACGCCCUCUAUAUAGGGCUCGUCGGCCCAUUGCACUCACUCUUUGGGGAACCGGCGUCGCAUAGUGAGAAACGGUAUGCAGUAAGCUUUGCCUGCAUAGCCGUAUCAUGAAGCUACCUUUUCUCAGGGUUUGUCAGGAGCGCCCGGUGAAAAGGAAACGUGCCUGCAGAAGGCAAAAGAACUGACUACGACAGUAGAAGGACAGAGGGAUGGUCUUUUGGACACGGGUUCGACUCCCGUCUACUCCACUC
rnacentral:tmRNA from 1 species